GGAUAUGUUUGUACAGUACAUGUCAUUAAUGAGCUGCAUGGGGAAUUGACAAGGAUCGGUCUUGAAUGAAACUGAAGAAGCUCAGACCAGGAGUCAACACACAGGCAGCACAUGGUCGUUCAUGGUUGCAACAGAUUGUGUGUGUGUGUGUGUGUGUGUGUGUGUGUGUGCAAGAUCCUUGUGUGGAUGUGUUUGUAUGUGUGGAGGUUAGAGGUUGUGUGUGUGUGUGUGUGUGUGUGUGUGUGUGCGUGUUUGGGAGGAGCGGAAUAGUAACAGGUUUUUGUGUGUGGAUGUGGGUGGGUUGGUGAGCAGGGUUAUGUGUAAAAAAUGCAAACAUGUUUGUUUUGAAUGAAGUGUAUGACAAUAUGCACUUUACAUAGCAAGCCUGAUCCUCAUUGCUAUUUUGUUCUGAAAAAAACGAAUGCUGAAAGAGACUGUGUUUGGUCUUAUUUUGGAACUUUUAUUCCGAAAACAAAAACAAACAAACAAAAAAAAGAAAAGAUUGGUCGCACAUAUUAAUCCAGUGGCUCGAUACUGUUAGCACCACCCAGUCCUAGCCAUCACAUAGGUCCAUUGGCAGUCUGACUUUCACACGUACACACACACACACACACACACACACGCACAUCUUAUACUUAGCCAUGCAGCUACCACUCUGUGUAUUGCACUGUACCACCUUUUCAAUGACACUCCCUCCCCCAUCCCUCCCACCCCUGCAAUAAAGCUCUGGUACCCCAACAGCCUCCAAUACCCCACCCAAACUCCCCAAUGGUCCAUCGUAUUGUCAGUAGAUCUAUCUCAAAUAUAUAUUGCAUAGGGUUAUGGCCAUGCUGUACAAGAAUGCUUCGUUGACUAAAAAAUAAAAAUCGGAUGGAUUACAUUGAGAAAUAUAAAAUGAUAUUUGAUUUAGUUUUUUUUUUUUACAGAUAUGCUAUAUAAUAUUGGAACACUUACAGCGCAACAUAUAUAUACGACAUCUACUCAAGAGAAAAAAAAUAUGUAACAUUUAACCGGCAUUUUCUCUAUCACGUACAUGGUUAAAUACUGUUCUGACCUCUCCUGCCGGGCCUGUGCAUUCCAACUGAUUAAAAUGAUCUCUUUACACUCACACACAUCCAUAUUAUAUAAUAUUUCUCAUAUAUCUCAUAUAUCAUUCAAAGAUAAACUGCACAUAUAAUUUCUAUAUUAUUAAUUUUUCUAUAUUUUUAUUUCCCCAUUUGGAAAUUUUCAUUAGAAAAGCAUAAACCCUUUACUCGGAUGCAAAACACACAGAGAAGAAAGCAUAGAAAUGAAAAAUAUGUGAACUCUGAACACCUCUCUGAUAUUGCAUGCAUUUGAGACGAUAUGUAGAUAAGAAAACGAGGGGGGGGGUAGGGGGACUAAAUACGGAUCACCGUAAGUCUGAUGAAAUGAUAAAAAUAAUCACGAGCAACAUCGAUAGCACAUGGGAGAAAGAGAAAACAGAAAAAACAAUGUGUACACCUUUUCCAAAAGGAUUUGAGUCACCUGGGUCCACGUAUCUGUUGACAAAAGACUGAAUAAGGCAUGCUUAAGACAGUCAUGGAGUUCUUUUCUGCCAGUGUUGUGCUGUUUUUGUUUUCUCUCGCUUCUUUUUUUUUUUGUAGUUAGUAGUUUGUUUUCUCCGAACGAGAUGUGCUUCAUUAAAAACCACCAGGACGUCCUCCUCCCAGAUACCUUCACAUGGUCACGAUAUGCAGUCACUCAUCUGUGAAAAAAACAUACGGUCAGGGGGUUACUGAACUGAUUAGGCUGAUUACGCUUGAAAAUCCUCCAGCUCCUUGGCACUCGAGGCUACUGCAUGUGCUUGUCACCAAAAAAGCUCUAAAUUAAAUCAUCAAAGGGCUGUAUGACUAAAAACCCUAAAUAGUUUUCAAGCUCCCUUUCUUUAAAGACAGACAGA
ensembl:lncRNA